UACGUAGGGCGCAAGCGUUAUCCGGAAUUAUUGGGCGUAAAGAGCUCGUAGGCGGUUUGUCGCGUCUGCCGUGAAAGUCCGGGGCUCAACUCCGGAUCUGCGGUGGGUACGGGCAGACUGGAGGUAUGCAGGGGAGAACGGAAUUCCUGGUGUAGCGGUGAAAUGCGCAGAUAUCAGGAGGAACACCGGUGGCGAAGGCGGGUCUCUGGGCCGAUACUGAUGCUGAGGAGCGAAAGCGUGGGGAGCGAACAGG
rnacentral:rRNA from 1 species